UACAGAGGGUGCAAGCGUUGUUCGGAAUUACUGGGCGUAAAGCGAGUGUAGGCGGCCUAUUAAGUCAGAUGUGAAAUCCCUUGGCUCAACCGAGGAACUGCAUCUGAUACUGGUGGGCUUGAGUGUCGGAGGGGAUGGUAGAAUUCCUGGUGUAGAGGUGAAAUUCGUAGAUAUCAGGAGGAAUACCUGUGGCGAAGGCGACCAUCUGGAAGACAACUGACGCUGAGACUCGAAAGCGUGGGUAGCAAACAGG
rnacentral:rRNA from 1 species